UACAGGGGGGGCAAGCGUUGUUCGGAAUUACUGGGCGUAAAGGGUCUGUAGGUGGCUUGCUAAGUCAGACGUGAAAUCCCUCAGCUUAACUGGGGAACUGCGUCUGAUACUGGCAAGCUUGAGUGCAGGAGAGGAACGCGGAAUUCCAGGUGUAGCGGUGAAAUGCGUAGAUAUCUGGAGGAACACCGGUGGCGAAGGCGGCGUUCUGGACUGCAACUGACACUGAGAGACGAAAGCCGGGGGAGCAAACGGG
rnacentral:rRNA from 1 species